CCUACGGGUGGCAGCAGUAGGGAAUUUUGCGCAAUGGGCGAAAGCCUGACGCAGCAACGCCGCGUGAUUGAUUAAGCCCUUCGGGGUGUAAAGAUCUGUCAGUGGGGACGAAACUUGACGGUACCCACAGAGGAAGCACCGGCUAACUCCGUGCCAGCAGCCGCGGUAAUACGGAGGAUGCGAGCGUUAUCCGGAUUUAUUGGGUUUAAAGGGUGCGUAGGCGGAUCGUUAAGUCAGUGGUCAAAUUGAGGGGCUCAACCCCUUCCCGCCAUUGAAACUGGCGUUCUUGAGUGGAAGAGAAGUAUGCGGAAUGCGUGGUGUAGCGGUGAAAUGCAUAGAUAUCACGCAGAACCCCGAUUGCGAAGGCAGCAUGCCGGCUUCCGACUGACGCUGAAGCACGAAAGCGUGGGGAUCGAACAGGAUUAGAUACCCUUGUAGUC
rnacentral:rRNA from 1 species